GUGCCAGCCGCCGCGGUAAUACCGGCAGCUCAAGUGAUGACCGAUUUUAUUGGGCCUAAAGCGUCCGUAGCUGGCCAUGCAAGUCCGUCGGGAAAUCCACCCGCUUAACGGGUGGGCGUCCGGCGGAAACUGCACGGCUUGGGACAGGGAGGCUCGAGGGGUACGUUCGGGGUAGGAGUGAAAUCCCGUAAUCCUGAACGGACCACCGAUGGCGAAAGCACCUCGAGAGGACUGAUCCGACAGUGAGGGACGAAAGCUGGGGUCUCGAACCGGAUUAGAUACCCGGGUAGUCC
rnacentral:rRNA from 1 species